UAUAAACCAAAGAGCCAGCUCAGAUAUGCUUGGUGUUACAUUUUUACGUGCUCCAACGCCCAAUGGAGGUAAACACGGCGCAGGGAAAACGAACAGGACGAGGAGGAGAUGUUGACCACCAGUAACGCCUACGCAGGCAGUCAGUUGCGGAUUUGGAUUCGGAUUCAAAGAGUCAGGGAGUUGGCAGUGCAGCAUGAUGAAUGUCCCAUUCCAGCUCCUAGGUGAGCAGCGUUUUUCGUACGUGCCUUACUCAAAAUACAUGGGCUCGAAAGAGGGGGUCCCUAUUAUUUUAUCUAUUAACAUAGAUUCCUUCUCUCGACUUAUAAAUGGAGCUUAUCCCCUGGGAAUCGUGAUUCAGACACCUAUGCGAUUUCAAUAGGACGUGUGCCAGCGGGUCGUGUGGUGACGGUGGGGAUUUUGGCACAAGAUUUUUGCGCCCCCCAAAAUCAAUUAAAAUGCCAAGCGGCGUGAGUCACACGCACAUGGGGUCGGAUUGAGAUUCGAUGAGGUUGGUCUUCGCAUCGGUCGAGAGUGUUCCAAAGUGUUGAAAGGAGCGGGCUCCCUUUGUCGGACCUGGCCAGGCGGGACCUCCUCGACGGAUGGCUGGAUGGAUGGAUGAUCCAGCGAGGCGAUGAAGGAGUUGAGAUGUGAUGAUGGGCCAAUGGCCAGGAAUUACAAUGCUUAUUGCAUCUGCUGGAAAUUUGCAUACCCAAUCACCGAAUGGCAUUCCCACUCUUGACCCCGUUUUCAAUGGCCACUCGACACGACUCCGGCACGUUCUGUAAUCGAUCAUCAGUGCCCAAAGUGGCCAGAAGAAGGCUGCAAGCGGGGCUCCGAAGACUGGAAAGCGAAGACUGAGGGCCGGGGCCGCCUCUCAUCAAAGUCCAACAAAGCGCAUACCACAGAUAUCAAUUAAUUUCAGCGGGCCAACGUGUGGAUGUGAAAAGGCCAACAAAAUCGUAAUAAGUCAAUGCCUUUGACGCGUACACAGAAAACAAAUCAAUGCAACAGUUGGUGAAAUUCUAUAGUAUAUAUGAAUAUGUAAUACUUUGCAACACAAGGAAUAGAGCUCGUUGAACAGGCCUAACAAACUUCUUUUUUUGAAUUUAAAAAUCAGUUUUUAAUAAAGUAUUAUUUUCUGUGCACUGACACCGAAACAGAGA
rnacentral:misc_RNA from 1 species